CCUACGGGAGGCAGCAGUGAGGAAUAUUGGUCAAUGGGCGCAAGCCUGAACCAGCCAAGUCGCGUGAAGGAUGACGGUCCUAUGGAUUGUAAACCUCUUUUGUCGGGGAGCAAGGCGAGCCACGUGUGGCUGUAUGGAGAGUAUCCGUAGAUAAAGCAUGGGCAAACCCCGUGCAGGCAGCCGCGGUAAUCGGGAGGAUGCGAGGUUUAUCGGGAUUUUUUGGGUUAAAGGGUGGGGUAGGCGGAAGGUUAAGUCGUCGGUAAAAUGUCGGUGCCAAACACAGGACUGCCAUUGAUACUGGUCUUCUUGAGUAAAGUAGAAGUAGGCGGAAUUCGUGGUGUAGCGGUGAAAUGCAUAGAUAUCACGCAGAACUCCGAUUGCGAAGGCAGCAUAC
rnacentral:rRNA from 1 species